rnacentral:ncRNA from 2 species
AAUAAAUAAAAAAUAUUAACUCAUAUAAUAGUGGGGAUAUGGCCUGCGAGUUUCUACCAGCUACCGCAAAUAGUUGACUAUGAGUGAAAUGAUUGAUUUU